rnacentral:ncRNA from 1 species
AUGAUGAAUACGGAAGAAUAAGAGUGUUUGACUCUUAUACCGAAGAAGCAAGUUGAUGUCUCUUACCCAGGAUAUCAGCGAAACUUUCAGGUUGGAGGACCGUAUUCGGACU